rnacentral:rRNA from 1 species
GAUGAACGCUGGCGGCGUGCCUAAUACAUGCAAGUCGAGCGAACGGACGAGAAGCUUGCUUCUCUGAUGUUAGCGGCGGACGGGUGAGUAACACGUGGAUAACCUACCUAUAAGACUGGGAUAACUUCGGGAAACCGGAGCUAAUACCGGAUGAUAUAUUGAACCGCAUGGUUCAAAACUGAAAGACGGUCUUGCUGUCACUUAUAGAUGGAUCCGCGCUGCAUUAGCUAGUUGGUAAGGUAACGGCUUACCAAGGCAACGAUGCAUAGCCGACCUGAGAGGGUGAUCGGCCACACUGGAACUGAGACACGGUCCAGACUCCUACGGGAGGCAGCAGUAGGGAAUCUUCCGCAAUGGGCGAAAGCCUGACGGAGCAACGCCGCGUGAGUGAUGAAGGUCUUCGGAUCGUAAAACUCUGUUAUUAGGGAAGAACAUAUGUGUAAGUAACUGUGCACAUCUUGACGGUACCUAAUCAGAAAGCCACUGCUAACUACGUG